GUAGAAACUUAGAAUUGUGGUGGAAACUGGUGUUUUAAAAGCGGAUUAUUAUGUUCGAACUAAAAAAAGUGGGGGUAAGCUCAGGAUCAGAAACCUCACCCAGUUCCCAUUAGUUCUAUAUGUUAUUAAUUUUCAGUUCCUAUACAACUUUUCCACAUAAAUUGGAUUUGAAGCGGCCGGUUCAACUACCCAAAUUGGCUUCGCAAGUCACUGAUUCAACUUCAACCUACUGAUUCACUUUUUAAAACAGCAGCGAAGGAAAAGAUAAAAAUAACCAAUAAAACCAGAAAGUGAACUCACAUCGAAUUUGUUGCUCCUGAGAGCAUCAGAGAGGUGGUGAAGGAACUCUUCUUUGUAAAGUCCAUUGUAUGCCUCACGAAUUUGCUUUAGUUCUUGAGAGCUUCUACUUGCAAGGAUCUCCAUAACUUUUUGCCUAUUGCCCGCUACAUGACCUACGUAGCUUACCCAUCAGUUUUCUCUUUGAAGAAAACUCAGUAUGAAUAGGGAAUGGGGUUGGUGAAUUCGCAGUUAAGGUGGCGGAUGCUUCAACAUAACAUAUCAAAGAAGAAAAAUUCACUAUUUAUAUAUUGCGAUGAUGAUAAAGUUUUCAAUGUUGAUAAUGGAAGAAAUCCAUAAUUUAGCCAAUGUCGACUAGAAGAAAAAAAUAAAAUAUUACCUCGAUGGUAGGAUUGAAGAAAUUGGCAAUCCAGAUGAUCUUUGUGAUUGAGUUGUGGUUUGGCCAUUGUGUGAGAUAGUGUUUCCUGUGGCAACCUUUGUUGCUUUCACAUGAUGACUUACGUGGUUAGAGUGAGUGAGAUGGUUCUCUUUAUAGGUUGAACUGACAUGUUCCUUUCUUAGGAAUAUAACUUUUGCAAAGUUC
rnacentral:lncRNA from 1 species